rnacentral:rRNA from 1 species
UACGAAGGGAGCUAGCGUUGUUCGGAAUCACUGGGCGUAAAGCGCACGUAGGCGGAUGUGUCAGUCAGGGGGUGAAAUCCCCGGAGCUAACUUCGGAACUGCCUUUGAUACAGCACGUCUUGAGUCCGAUAGAGGUGGGUGGAAUUCCUAGUGUAGAGGUGAAAUUCGUAGAUAUUAGGAAGAACACCGGUGGCGAAGGCGGCCCACUGGAUCGGUACUGACACUGAGGCACGAAAGCCGGGGGAGCAAACAGG